CCUACGGGAGGCAGCAGUAGGGAAUCUUCCACAAUGGGCGAAAGCCUGAUGGAGCAACGCCGCGUGAGUGAAGAAGGAUUUCGGUUCGUAAAACUCUGUUGUAAGGGAAGAACAAGUACAGUAGUAACUGGCUGUACCUUGACGGUACCUUAUUAGAAAGCCACGGCUAACUACGUGCCAGCAGCCGCGGUAAUACGUAGGUGGCAAGCGUUGUCCGGAAUUAUUGGGCGUAAAGCGCGCGCAGGCGGUUCCUUAAGUCUGAUGUGAAAGCCCCCGGCUCAACCGGGGAGGGUCAUUGGAAACUGGGAAACUUGAGUGCAGAAGAGGAAAGUGGAAUUCCAAGUGUAGCGGUGAAAUGCGUAGAGAUUUGGAGGAACACCAGUGGCGAAGGCGACUUUCUGGUCUGUAACUGACGCUGAGGCGCGAAAGCGUGGGGAGCAAACAGGAUUAGAUACCCUGGUAGUCCAUGCCGUAAACGAUGAGUGCUAAGUGUUAGGGGGUUUCCGCCCCUUAGUGCUGCAGCUAACGCAUUAAGCACUCCGCCUGGGGAGUACGACCGCAAGGUUGAAACUCAAAGGAAUUGACGG
rnacentral:rRNA from 1 species